rnacentral:pre_miRNA from 1 species
ACGGCAUUUUGACCGUUAGUCUACCGAGCAACUUCACCCGCUCAGUGGAAGAUCUUCCUUUUAUCGC